GCCUACAGCCCUGCCACCUUGAACAAGCCUGAUUCCAUCUGAUCUUGGAAGCUAAGCAGGGUCGGGCUUGGUGUUAGUACUUGGAUGGGAGAUCACCUAGGAAGACCAGGUGCUGUAGGCG
ensembl:rRNA 5S_rRNA 5S ribosomal RNA